rnacentral:misc_RNA from 2 species
AAGUCGUAACAAGGUUUCCGUAGGUGAACCUGCGGAAGGAUCAUUAUCAAAACAGCGGACUUCGGUCCUUGCUGCACCCUUGUCUUUUGCGUACCGUAUGUUUCCUCGGCGGGCUUGCCUGCCGGUUGGACAAUAUCAAACCUUUUUGUAGUUGCAAUCAGCGUCAGAAAACAAAUAAUAAUUACAACUUUCAACAACGGAUCUCUUGGUUCUG